UACGUAGGGGGCAAGCGUUGUCCGGAUUUAUUGGGCGUAAAGAGCGUGUAGGCGGCCAGUCAGGUCCGUUGUGAAAACUCGAGGCUCAACCUCGAGACGCCGAUGGAAACCGACUGGCUAGAGUCCGGGAAGAGGAGAGUGGAAUUCCCGGUGUAGCGGUGAAAUGCGCAGAUAUCGGGAAGAACACCCGUGGCUAAGGCGGCUCUCUAGUACGGUACUGACGCUGAGACGCGAAAGCGUGGGGAGCGAACAGG
rnacentral:rRNA from 1 species